ensembl:misc_RNA Metazoa_SRP Metazoan signal recognition particle RNA
GCCAGGCGUGGUGGCCUGUGCUUGUAGUCCUAGUUACUGGGGAGGCUGAGGCAGGAGGAUCGCUUGAGUCCAGGAGUUUGGGGCGGCAGUGAGCUAUGAUUGUGCCACUGUGCUCCAACCUGGGUGACAGAGUGGGACCCUGUCCCCU